GACGAACGCUGGCGGCGUGCUUAACACAUGCAAGUCGUGCGGUAAGGCCCUUUCGGGGGUACCCGAGCGGCGAACGGGUGAGUAACACGUGAGCAACCUGCCCUUCCCUUUGGGAUAACUGCCGGAAACGGUGGCUAAUACCGGAUAUGACUUCAUCACGCCUGUGGGGUGGUGGAAAGCCUUCGGGUGGUGGGGGAUGGGCUCGCGGUCUAUCAGCUUGUUGGUGGGGUGAUGGCCUACCAAGGCUUCGACGGGUAGCCGGCCUGAGAGGGUGACCGGCCACACUGGGACUGAGACACGGCCCAGACUCCUACGGGAGGCAGCAGUGGGGAAUAUUGGACAAUGGGCGAAAGCCUGAUCCAGCAACGCCGCGUGAGGGAUGACGGCCUUCGGGUUGUAAACCUCUUUCGCCUGCGACGAAGCGAGAGUGACGGUAGCAGGUAAAGAAGCACCGGCCAACUACGUG
rnacentral:rRNA from 1 species